rnacentral:sRNA from 1 species
UUAUUUAAGCCUUGAAUUCUCUUUUAAUGUUUUGUAGUUUUUAGUGUAGACAUCUUAUACUUCUAUUAAUAUAUUUCUAAAUAUUUUUUGGAUGCCAUUGUGAAUGGCAUUUAUUUUAUUUUCUAGUUGUUUGCUGCUACUAUAUACACAUAAAAACUGAUUGUCUUGUGACCUUUCUAAAUUGAUUUUUAGUUCUAGUAGUUAUUUUGGUUUUUUUUUUUUUUUUUGCAAGCACAAAUAGUUCUACCUCUUUUCUGAUCUUUAUCUCUUUAUUUCUUUUUCUUUCCUUAAUGUAAUAGUUAUGGUCUCCAGUACAAUGUUGAAUUGAAUUGAUGAAAGUGAACACCAUUCUUGCCUUGUUUCCAAUUUUAAGGGAAAAGCAUUUGGUGUUUCACUAUUAAGUAUGAUGUUAGCUGUAGGUAUUUUAUAGAUGCCCUUUGUUAGUUAAUGAAGUUUCCUUCUACUCUAGUUUGCUAAGAGGUUUGUUUUUUUGUUGUUGUUUUUGUUUUUACCAUGAAUGGAUAUUGAAUUUUGUCAAAGGCUUUUUCUGAUCUAGCAAUCCUUGAGAAUUGAUUCCUUUUAUUUUAAAAAAAUAUUUCUUAGUUUUCUGGGGUUUUAGGGAUGAGGUCUCACUAUGUUGUCCAGGCUGGACUCAAAUUCUUGGCCUCAAGCAGUCCUCCUGCCUUGGCCUUCAGUGUAGCUGGGUCUACAGGUACAUGCCACUGUGCCCAGCUUGAUUCUAUUCUAUACACAAACUGUACUCCCCUUCUUCUUCCUCCCACCACCAUUCUAAUAUGCUUAAUUAUAUCUUUAUGUGUUUUUACAAAGUCUGUAUUGUUUAUGAACAUGUAUGUUUUUACAUAACUGUGUAUAAAAAUGUCUUUACCUAUAUAUAAAAAUCUUUUUCCACUGAGCACUAUGUGUGUAAGAUCCAUCUGUGUUCUUCGGGUAUAUCUCAUCAAAUUGUUAGCAACUUUAUAGCACAGACAGUACAAGUGCUCCAUAUUGAAAUACUGUAAAUGAGGUUUUGGAAGAAUGAGUAUAGAAUAUGUGAUCAGAAGUAACUGCAAAACUGAGUCACUGACUGAUGAAAUCCAUGGAAAGAAUGUGGGGUUAGAAGGUGGUCAUGAGUGCAAAUUCUGGAUCUGCUCUUUACUGCUGUGUGAUCUUGGGCAAUUAACCUUUUUUGAGCCUUGGUUUCUUCUUAGAAUGGGAGUGACACCUUCUAUGAUUGUUGUGAAGAUUAAAGAUAAUGAAAAUGUAACUGCCUGGUCCCUGAUAAACUGUCACAAUAUGUUGAGACAAUAUGUGAGACAGAGUCUCACUCUGCCUCCCAGGCUGGGGUGCAAUGGUGCGAUCUCGGCUCACUGCAACCUCUGCCUCCCGGGUUCAAGCCAUUCUUCUGCCUCAGCCUCCCGAGUAGCUGGGAUUACAGGCACCUGCCACCACACCCAGAUAAUUUUUGUAUUUUUAGUAGAGAUGGGAUUUCACCAUGUAGGCCAGGCUGGUCUCGAACUCCUGACCUCAGGUGAUCCACCCGCCUCAGCCUCCCAAAGUACUGGGAUUACAGGCGUGAGCCACCACACCCAGCCAGUGUUGUUUCUUUCCUUCCUCAGGGCUGGCUCUGGGGGGAAGCGAGGGUCAACAGUUCGUGUGUGGUGAGCCCAAAGGUGCCAAAGCACACCCCACACAGAGGCACUCUUCACGCAUCUCAGAUUGGAGAUAACAGUAAAUGACUAUGCAGAGUGCGGUGUUUAAUGUCAAUUUUUCCUUCUGUCCUCUGCAGGACAAAGUGGCCAUGGAGAGUAUGCCUCUGCUAGGCUUCACCAUUGCUCCAGAAAAGGAAGAGGGCAGCAGCGAAGUAGGACCUAUUUUUCACCUUUACCACAAGAAAACCCUAUUUUAUAGCUUCAAAGCAGAAGAUACCAAUUCAGCUCAGAGGUGGAUCGAGGCCAUGGAAGAUGCGAGUGUGUUAUAGCAGUUAAUCAAGCAUGUGGACUUGUAACAAAUUCUUAGGUCAAUAUGUGAAUGCUUUUAGAAGCUAAGCUGUGGCUCAACUCAUCCGGACACACACCUGGAUUCAGCAAUGAGGCCUGACCUUUUUUGCUAUAACCGCCCCACCACUCCCCUGCCCUUGCCAACAUCUUCAUGAGUGGAAUCCUUAAGGGAUAUUUAUGGACCUCUCCUUUUCUGUGUUUUCCACCCCUACCCCCACCCGCCACCCGGUAAUAAACUAUUUCCUUACCCCGC